CAAAGCUCAGCAUUUUUCACUCCCUUUCCAAAAUGCCUUCCUCAUGCUCCCCUUUAUCACUCUUCUCUGCAUUGCCCUGAAAAAAAAUGAGUGCUUAUAAAAGAAAGACAUAAUCCUCUUUCUUCUCAUUUGAAUUCUUUGUAUGAACCAAGUCAGCAAACACACAAACCCUCCUAGGAAAAGUCUUUCAUGUAGGUAACAGUGGACUAUUUUUUUAUUUUAUUUUUUUUUAAGAGGGCAGUCUGCCAGAGGGUGUCCAAUAUAAGCUUUUGUAGACAGCAGUUUUUCUACACAGAGCUGAGUUGACAGCUUUCCUCCUGGGAUAAUCACAAUCUUCAUUCUUCUGGGACAAAAUUGCUUCUGACAGUAUAAAACCCAGGACAUCUUUGAUGUAAAAUCUGACUCGAACACAUGAAUGGCGAGACUACAGAGCCAUCCCAUUCAAGAGAAAAUGUUAGUAGUGGAGGCAAGAUCAGAGGUGCCAGCCGAAUUAAUCAAACUAGUAAAACGUGAGGAAGUAUCAGUCCAUAAAGCUGCCUAAUAAAUCCGAGUGCACGGCGCUGGAAGGGAAGUGCCUUUGGACACUAAGCUGGGUGUCAGGCUGGGGCUGGGCACCCUCUGUGUGUGUGUAGCCCUGCCCUGCUGUGCUACAUUAAACAUUCUGAACGUGCGUUUUUAACAAAAGUCUGCAUCUCCAGCGUUUGUUGGCGCGGCGCAAUGGGCAGUGCUGCGGCGUUCUCCCUCCCUCUUCCUUCUUUCUCCUCCUUUGGGAUGGGGAGCUGCUGUCUCAAGGUGUGGGGCUGAACCUGGCAGGGUUGGCUCUGUUCCCUUGGCCUGACCUGGGGAUGACAAAGAGGUUGUUGGGCACCACCACGUGCCCCUAAAAAUCAGCCAGUUUAAGUUUGUAAAGGUAAUUAUGGUAAUUUUUUUUCUCCAGGAGAAGACAGAGCACCAAGAUGAGCAGCCAGUUUUCUGCAGAGCUCGUGUGCAGUGUCACACGAAUGCCAGACACUUUAUCCGAGAGCUAAACUCAAGCAGCUGCUUCCAGUUUGGGCUGUGUCCAUACACCUGAAGUGAGGAACAGUAAGGUCUCUCCUUUCUGCACCCCUUAAAGCAAUAAUGCGACAUCUAACAGCCUUCAGCCUCCUA
rnacentral:lncRNA from 1 species